CUUCUCUAAAGAGAUGGCUUUUAUUCUUCAGUUACUUUUUUUUUUUUCUUCCCCUACACAGGUCAAAUAGGGAAGAAUGCAGUGAUAGCCAUGCAAACCUUGCUCAUAAAUCAUGUCACAGCUGUCUUGGGUAUGAGAAUGAACUGUUAUUCACACCAGACCGGUCCACAGCUAUAUAAUAAGAUCAUCCUUCUCCCUCAUACACUCUGAGAAUGACACAAUGUUUAAAUAACUAUGGGAAUUUCAAUUAAUGAUUUAUGAACAGCUGAAGCUUUUAUUUCUCAAGUUGUUGUAAUCAAAGCCACUCCACUGUAUUUAAUAAGAUUAGAUGGCAAGGAAAGAGAAGAAGAAUACAGUAAUGUUUGCUGUGUCUGCCACAUCUUCCACAUUUGAAGGGGUGGUGAAGCUAUGGGUGAAAUACCCCAUCCAUUUUGACAGCAUAUGACAGUCAUAGAAAUUGCCUUUUGUGGAGGUAGAAAACUUGAUGGUUUUAUUUUAAGGCUUUUGAAUGCUCUAAAUAUUCCCUGGCUCAUUUUGGGAUUUCCAUGUGAAGAUUAGUUAGCAGAGUUCAGUUAGGUAGGAAUUUUAAGUAUUAUUAUUUUAAGAUAAAAGGAAAAAAAAAUACUAGACUGCAUAGCAGUUUUAGCUGCCAUUUACAAAACUUGUUUUGACUUUUUGACUAGUUCCAUUCUGCUGCCCUAAUGGGAAAUACAAAUCUUUUGCCUGUCUCAAUAAAAGUACUUAAAGUUUUCAGUCUUUCUGAAAGCUUUUGCUAUAGACUCCAGUGUUGUAAUGUCAAAGGACCAGGUCAUGUUAUUGAGGCAAUGGACUACUGGGAAUGUAUCUGAACACGGGUGUAAAUGUGCAUGUGUGCUGCACAGGUCCCCUCUCUGUUAGCUGGCGGGUGGGUUAAUGUUGUCUGGCAGCCUAACUCACACCUAGCUGCUUGUUCACUCCAUGCUAGCAGGUGGGAGGAGAGACUUAGAAGGACAAAAAUGGAGAAAGACUUGUGAAUGGAUAUGAUAGUUUAAUAAAGAAGAGAGUGGAUGGCGAAUGUACUGUAGAAGCAAUAAGUUGCUGCUUCCUGCUAGCAGCCUGGUAUGUGAGUCACACUGAACAAUGGCUCCUUGGAAAAAACUUCCCCAUGUGGCUCUAUCCCUUACCACAGUGGUAUAGGGUAAAGAAUGUCCCUUUUGGGUAAACUGAGGUCAGCUGACCCCUCUCCCAGCAUCUUUACCUCAUCCUGUAGAGUGGGAAACAGAGAAAUCAUCAGUGCUGCAAUUGCUGCUUGGCAAUAGCAAAAUCCCUGGUGUCAACACAGUGUUGUUCACAAGCCCGAAACAUAGCAAUGUGCAGGCUGCUAUUAAAAAGUUAAAUCCAUCCCUGUCAGACACCUGUGAGUGUGUUCAGUCAUCUCUUCUCUAGGGCUGUGCUGUUUGUGGAGGGAAAGGUAAAAGAGGGAAAAAUUAUUAAAUGUUGAUUUGAGCUCCCAGGUAGUUAGUGCAGAAAUUGAGUGAACAUCAGCAUGCGUGUGUAUACAAAUAGAUAUCUGUGCUUAUUUGAGGAGCCUUUAAAGUUUUUUUUUAAAGGCAAUAUCAAACCUCAUAGUAAAUGAGAACAUAAGGUUGCAUCAUAUCUAAAAGCCUGAUAAACUGGCAUAUCUGUAUGUCUUACAAUUGUUUGGCCUAAUCUUAAGAUAUUUUCUUUCUUUUUUUGUUUGAGUGGGUUUAUCAGUGUCCAUGUUUCAGUUUGUUAUGCAAAAGCUACUUUAGCACUCCCUCUUGCUUAAGAAAAAUAUCAUAUGCCAUGGCAAGAUUAUCUACAUGAAGCUUUUCAAAUCACCAUGGUCCUGUAGGCUAGCCAUUUCACCAGUAAGAAAUAGGAUUUGAGGUUAUCCAAGCAAUAAAUGCACUUCUGUUCCUUCUGCAGAGGAAAGAAGUCAUGCCUUAGGCUAUCCUAUCUAUUAACCACUUAGGAAGAGGGGAACAGGAGGGCUACAGAGGCAGCACUGAGCAUAGAAACUGUCUUAUUUGGGGCAUUUUUAGAUGCCGACUCCCUGCUUUGUCAGAGACUCAGUAACAGGAAUGCCAAGCACCUAUGCUUUCAGAAAUGCAUAAUUGAUUUGGAAAUACCAGGUGGUCAAUCUUGGCACUGUGAUUGCCUGAGUAAUUGGUUUUUAGAAGUUGGAAUUUCUGAAAUGAAAUGGGGAUUUCUACUUCUGGGAUGCUGAGGGCCACUCUUUAUCCUUGAUGUAGGCUGUUCUGCCCUGCUGUUGUAUUCAGUUUACUGUUUUGGUUAUUUUUAGUGCCUAAGAAUGCAUUUCUACAACUGCUGUCAGCAAAGGUUCUAUGUUUGUGUGCUCCUUAAGCUUUCUGCGGAUGAUUUUGUUAUCAUUUCCUCAAUUCUGCUAUCCAUUUUUCUCUGUGGUUUGCUUUGUACAUCUGUCUGCAGUGGCUUAAGGGGUCAGCUUAUGUAUUUCAAAAAUUGUGCAAUUUCUGUGAUAAUUUCCUUGGUAAAUUAGGCAACGAUACACUCAAAGGGAUAUUCACCAUGAAUAGUUGGGUGCUAUCAUUAUGAUUGGUGUGAGGGUUAUCUCUUUAGAGGAAAGACAUUAGCGUAGAACUUUACAACGUGAACUAUGCCAUCCCAGCUUUAAAGCAAAUGCAGCAGAAUCCUGAUUUUGUAAAUAGGCUACAGCAAUAUUCUGUAAGUUUUAAUUCAGAAAAAAAAAAAUUACAUCACAAGUCUACGUUCAUCGGUCUGAUUUCAAUCUCAGUGAAAGGCAAAUCAGAGCAUGAGGGAUGUUAAAGUCUCUUACUCUGUUUAAGUUGUGUUCUCUGUUCACAGAUGUGGCAGAAUACAUGUGUUGUGACUAAUGUGUCUUUUCCCAACGCGUGAUGUGGUAGAAAGGACUUUGCUGCUUUCAGUUACUUGAUGUUUCACAGAAGUCCAAAGAGAUUUUGCACAAAGUCUGAGGGAAACCUGUACUUUAAAAAUCAACGAGUUAAUGACUCCCUCUGCCUCUAGAAACCAAAUUAUAGCUCUGAAGUUUGUGAAUCCUGAGCUCCUCCUUGCUUAUGCCACUCAUAGGAAAAUAUGACUGUGUUUGGCUGCCUGUACUAAAAAAAAGAAAAACAACAUUUGCACUUUGUGAUUCAGUUGAUGCAGUUGAUGUUCAGCUAAAGUUGCAGUUUCACUCUGUGCGGAAUUGAAACUCUCAUGCUCUUGGCUGAGUGAUGGGCAGUUCCUAAUAUGAGAAAAAUUAUAUCAAUCUUAGUCCAAAAGAGACACCAAUGUGAUGGUGCAGCUAUCGAAGCUGUCAAAGUUUGAAGCUGCAGAUUGCCGGGGAGGUUUCCAAAGGCUGUGGGUGGCCAUAGAGAGUCGCUGGGUUAGGUGGCUGUGCACUGUGCCUUAGAAAACUGGCAUGUAACUAAUGUUAGUGGACGUUAAGCACCUCGUGCUUAAGGUCUGCUCCAGUGUAAUGCACCAGAGAGAUGAUUGAAGAAGUCAACGGUUGCAGUUCAGUCUAUGCCCUGCCAUUCUACUACAUAUGAUGACACAAUUAAGCACAUUUGCUUUACAAUGAAGUGAACAGCCACAGGUAAGUUGAAGCUCACUUUCUGCUCUGCUUUUCUGGUUUGUUUUGGUUCCCUUCCCCCAAGUCUCAUUCACUUAAUAGACGUUCUUCCACAAAGAAUUAAUCUUGAGAGACUUAUCUGCUUACAUCAGGCACACAAGCAGGUCUCAGUUAAGGGCCAGCUCUUGAAGCUGUUAGCAACAGAAAUGAACCUCCGAUAAUAAUAAUAAAAGAAAGAAUUAAACUUCCAAAUCUAAAAUAUUGUUAAUGUCGGUCUCACUUUGUCUCUUUGUGGUCAUAGAGCUUGCACUUAAAAGCAUAAAAAAAAGAAGGAACUCAAGCUUCUGCAAAUCUAUGUUGUCUGAAGUGAAUGCUGCGUUUGCGUAACACAUCUCUCCUAUGUGAUUUACGUUGCUUUCUCAUUCCAAACGUUCCUUUGGGUUUCCCCAUGGCAUCUUGGAGUCUUUAUAGUUCCUUGAGGUCUAACACUAUGGACUGGUAGACAACAAAGAUUAAAAUGAAAAGCAUGCUCAAAAGUGGCAGAGAACAGAGAAAUUUUCACCAUAAGAUGAAAACUAAACAACAACAACAAAAAAACCUUUUGUUGCAACAGCACAUAGAUUUGCGAGCAAUGGGGGAAUUUGCUUAAUAAGGAAAAAAAAUUGAGCACUCAGUUAUUUUUAUGGGGAGUGGAGGAGUAACGGAGGUAGUGCCGUUUUAAUUUUAAAGCCAGAUAUUUGAGGAAGUGGAUUGCAGCAGUUGUUUCAUGUUUAAUUCUUUCUCAAGCUGCAGUUCAGCUGAAGAGAAGAACAAUAAAGCAGUGGUUGCUGCUGUUGUCUUGAGUGAGUUAUGCCGCUCCUCUCUACCGGAUCUGAACCAGCGAAGACCUCUUCUACACUGUUUUCUUCUGCUCUGAUUUAUAGUUUUGUCUUAUGACAAAUCCUUCAGAGGUGAUAGCGCACGGAAAAUGGUACAACAUGCAAAGACAUCAAAUGCAUUGCUGUUUGUCUUGCUCUUCUUAUUUCCAAUGCUGCUGUCAGGAAACUGGUUUCCCAAAACUUUACCCUGUGAUGUGGAAGCCUUUGAAGGUACUGUGAGAGUAGACUGCAGUGAUCGCCGCCUCACGGAAGUCCCCAGAGGGAUCCCUGCAAAUGCAACUAACCUGACCCUGACUAUUAACCAUAUCCCUCAUAUCUCUUCAGCAUCCUUUAUUCAGCUUGAAAACCUUGUGGAGAUUGACUUCAGAUGCAACUGCGUGCCUCCCAGACUGGGGCCCAAAGAUAACGUGUGCACCACACCACCAACAAUUGAGAAUGGCAGUUUUGCUGCUCUGACUAGACUGAAGUCAUUGUACUUGGAUGCAAACCAACUGUCAGAAAUACCCCGGGGUCUUCCUGAUACUUUACGUUUGCUGAGUUUGGAAGCCAAUAAAAUUUUUUCUAUUAAGAAAAACACUUUUUCAGAGCUAAGAAAUAUAGAACUAUUGUAUCUGGGACAGAACUGUUACUACCGUAAUCCAUGUAAUAUUUCAUUUGAAAUUGAAAAAACAGCCUUUCUGAAUCUGAAAAAUUUGACAGUACUAUCCCUCAAGUCUAAUAACUUAACUUUUAUUCCACCCAACUUGUCUUCAACUUUAAAGGAAUUGUAUAUUUACAAUAACAGAAUUCAAGAGGUUCAGGAACAUGAUUUAAGUACCCUUUACAACCUAGAAAUUCUUGAUCUCAGUGGCAAUUGCCCACGUUGCUAUAACGCCCCAUAUCCUUGUACUCCCUGCCCCAAUGUCUCAAUUAAGAUUCAUUCAAAAGCUUUUUAUUCCUUGAAAAAAUUAAGAGUUUUGAGACUUCAUAGUAACUCUCUUCGGAGUAUACCAAGCAGCUGGUUUAAAAACAUCAAGAAUCUCAAAAAUCUUGACCUCUCUCAAAAUUUCCUCAUAAAGGAGAUUGGAGACGCUCAGUUUUUGAAGCUUAUCCCCAGUCUUGUAGAGCUGGAUUUGUCCUUUAAUUUUGAAUUGCAGAUGUAUUCUCCAUCCUUGAAUCUGUCCAAGACAUUUUCUUCCCUCUCUAACCUGGAAAUCCUAAGAAUCAAGGGUUAUGUGUUUAAAGAACUGAGAGAAGGAAAUCUAGAUCCAUUGCUCAGUCUUAAAAAUCUGACAGUAUUGGAUCUUGGGACUAAUUUUAUCAAAAUUGCUGACCUAAGAGUGUUCAAGAAAUUCCAAGCCCUAAAAGUCAUAGAUCUCUCAGUGAAUAAAAUUUCUCCUUCUUCGGGUGAAAGUAACAUUUAUGGAUUUUGCUCUGAUCCCAGGAUUACAGUAGAGCAAUACAGCAGGCAAGUUUUACAAGAGAUGCAUUACUUUAGGUAUGAUGAGUAUGGUCGAAGUUGCAAGUCCAAAGACAAAGAGGCUGACUCCUACCAACCUUCAGUCAAUGGAGACUGCAUGAGUUAUGGACAAACUCUAGAUUUAAGCAGAAACAAUAUAUUUUUUGUUAACUCCAUAGACUUCCAGGAUCUUAGUUUCCUCAAAUGCCUCAACUUGUCAGGCAAUGCCAUAAGUCAAACUUUAAAUGGAAGUGAAUUCAGCUACCUGUCUGGAUUGAAAUAUCUGGAUUUUUCUAACAACAGGAUUGAUUUGCUAUACUCAACUGCUUUCAAAGAGCUGAAAUAUCUAGAAAUUCUAGAUCUGAGCAAUAACAAGCAUUACUUUCUGGCAGAAGGUGUUAGCCAUGUGCUUAGUUUUAUGAAAAACUUGGCCUAUCUGAAGAAGCUGAUGAUGAAUGAGAAUGAGAUUUCUACUUCUAUUAGCACAGGAAUGGAAAGCCAAUCUCUUCAAACUUUAGAAUUUAGAGGAAAUCGUUUAGAUGUUUUCUGGGCAGACGGGAAGAAGGAAUACCUGUCGUUCUUCAAGAAUCUGACCAAUCUGGAACAACUGGAUAUUUCCUCUAACAUGCUCAGCUUUUUACCUCCUGAUGUUUUUGAAGCUAUGCCUCCAGAACUCAAGGUACUGAACUUAACCAGUAACCGGUUGAAGUCAUUCAACUGGGGAAAACUCCACUUCCUGACCAAACUAGUAACUCUGGACCUCAGCAAUAACCUUCUGACUACUGUUCCCCGAGAGCUGUCCAAUUGCACUUCAACUCUCCAACAACUGAUACUGCGAAACAAUCAUAUUACACGGUUAACCAAAUAUUUUCUCAGAGGUGCCAUUCAACUGUCAUACUUGGACCUCAGUUCAAACAAGAUCCAAAUAAUUAAGAAAUCUAGCUUCCCUGAAAAUGUCAUAAACAACCUGAGGAUGCUGCUUUUACACAACAAUCCUUUCAAGUGCAAUUGUGAUGCAGUGUGGUUUGUUAGGUGGAUAAAUCAAACUCAAGUGACAAUUCCUCUUUUGGCCACAGAUGUGACUUGUUCUGGCCCAGGGGCACACAGAGGAAGGAGUGUGGUAUUCCUGGAUCUGAAUACCUGUGAGCUAGACACAUCCUAUCUGAUCAUGUAUGCUUUAUCAACUUCAGCUGUCCUAAGUUUAAUGAUGUUUGCAGUUAUGAAUCACCUCUAUUUCUGGGAUGUGUGGUAUAGCUAUCAUUACUGCACUGCCAAGUUGAAGGGCUAUAGACGCUUACCUUUACCAGAUGCCUGCUAUGAUGCUUUUAUUGCCUAUGACAAUUCAGAUCUGGCUGUGAAUGAAUGGGUGAUGACAGAAUUGGUUGAAAAGCUGGAAGAUCAAAAAUCCAGACAGUUCAAUUUAUGUUUGGAAGAAAGAGACUGGCUUCCAGGUCAGCCAGUCUUUGACAACCUUUCCCAGAGCAUUCAACUGAGCAAAAAGACCAUAUUUGUGCUGACCAACAAGUAUAUUAAAAGUGGCUCUUUCAAGACAACAUUUUUCAUGGCCCACCAACGACUUCUAGAUGAAAAAAUUGAUGUGAUUAUCUUGAUAUUUCUUGAGAAAGUAUUACAGAAGUCCCGAUAUGUUCAGCUGAGGAAGAGGCUGUGCAGAAGUUCUGUUCUGGAAUGGCCAACUAAUCCUCGAUCUCAGCCCUACUUCUGGCAAUGUCUGAAAAAUGCCAUAGCUAUGAACAAUACCCUGGCUUACAACAAACUUCUCCAGGAAACUGUUUAACUUUACCACUCCCUGUAAAAUACUUUUAUGUGUGGUGAGGAAAAGAUACUGAACUUGCUAUGGAGAAAAUGUGGAAGUGGAGGGGGUAAAUAUAAUUGAGAUAUGAUAGCUGAAAGUGAAACGCACAAUCUGUUCCAAAGAUAAUAAUUCACUUGUUUUGCUAUGACAACAUUAACUAUAAACAGUUGCCAGCACAGAUGUUUAGCUGAUGCACACCUCAUCCAGCAUUUGCAGCAAGAGAAGAUGAUGCAACACUGUCACCACUCCUAGUUUCAGUUCUCUAGAGAACAUCUGACAUCACCUGGCUGGGUCAAGUGUGAGUGAGACAAUUGCUCAGCUCUAGUUCCCAAGCUGCCUGGAGGAGUCUGGCCAUGCUUAAGUUUGCUGCUGUUUGGAUCACUGUUGGAGUAAAUAUUAUUCUGACUCACCACAUAUUCAGAAUAUUUGAGAUCCACAGGUCUAUGUGGAAGAAUUAUAUUCAGACAAGAUUAUGCUUUUGAACAUUGCAGCUGGAUGCUACAUCUCAUUCCUAAUAAAAUCUCCUAACUUAACUCUCCAGUUAUCUUGGAACAUAUUUUGAAGGCUGGUAGAAACACAGUCACCAAGCUGUGCUCAUUUAUUUAUUCUGAACUCACCUUUGUGAUGCAAAAACAGCAACUUCCAAAAAAGGAUUUUAGCAACCCUUGCUCCACUGGACAAACAAGUUGCAAACACAAACUGAAGACUCCCUCCUUCGCAGCCACUUUACUUCUACUUCCUGUGGCUGAAAUUCUGUGUACGUAAUCCCACUCUGAGGCGAAAUCUAGUCCUUCCAAGAUUCUUGUUCUUCAAGCAAAUACAUUAAUCCCUUAGCAGUUAAAUAAGUAUAUGUAUACACAUAUGUAUACAUAUGUAUACACAUAUGUAUACACAUAUGUAUACAUACACAAAUAUCAAAAACGCCUUCAGCUACAAAGAAAAAGAGUAAUUUUUGAUGUCAUAUUAACGCAGUUUCAACUAUUUUGAAUAAUCCGUCAACAAAUCUCACAGAAAGAACGUGGUUUAUGUAUUCAAAGGAAAAAAAUAAAAAGACACAAACCCUGUAAAUCAUGCUGAAUACAUAAUUCUAAAGAAAGAAGAACCUAAAAGUGCAAAACAAACACAUCUGCUCAAAGUAGAAUUCUAUACUCAGGAACAAAAAUGAACUGAUGGUCUAAGUCUGGAACAGUUUGCAAGUAUUUUGUUGUACUGGUAAUUUUACAUGUAGUUAGUCACAUACAUAUGAGAGAGAAUAAAGGGUUUUUUUGUCAUCUGUUUCUUACAGAAAUUUAUGCAUUUCUUUUAAAUCACUGAGCCUAUUUUGCAACUGUAUGUUUUAAUCAAAACUAAUACAACUCCUGCAUUAUCUACUAUGGAAAUACAUUAAUUACUUAUCAGCAUGACUUAUCUGUUGUUCACUGAUUCACUUCCUGUAUUACAGUAUAUUAUCCAAUAUGUUCAGAAUACACUGUAAAGACCUUAAAUAGAAUUUGAUUAUUCCAGUUUUAAUGCCUUCUCAUGAUUUUUGAAAACAAACAAACAAACAAACAAAAAGAAAUACAGGCACUAUUUCUCUUUUGUAUGUCUCUGGUCUCAUCUUUCAGAUCCCCUCCUAUCCCUUUCUUUAGUAGACUGAAGAAUGCCCUCCUUACAGACACUUUCCCCCAUUUCUUAUCCCUGAUUUAUGAUCAAAUCAAUUCCUCAUUUUCUCUCUCUUGAAUAAAUCAUCUUUUCAAACAAGAAAAAAUAAAACUCCUCUUUUUCAGUCUCUCAUGGGAAGACAUUUUGAACUAGCAAGUGCCACAAUGAGUAGAGAGGUAAAAGAAGAAAUGCUCAACUUGCUCCCCAUCCAGCCUGGCCUUGAACACCUCCAGGAAUGGAGCAUCCACAGCCUCUCUGGGCAGCCUGUUCCAGCACCUCUCUACUCUCUCUGUAAAGAACAUUCCCCUGACAUCAAAGUUAAUCACAAUGGAUUAUAAUACAUUGCCAAAUGUAUAGUAGAGCUGUGUAGCUUUUGUGUCUAAGCAAUAUAGUAAUUAUUUUUCAUGGACUGAUCUGGACAAUUUCUUCAACUAUAGCUAAAUGGAAAUUGUAGGGUGGCAGAAUGGAACAAUACAAAUCGCAUCAUGAUCAGAAUUUGAAUCUGAUGUAUUUCUGUUCUCAAGAAAGGGUAUCAUGAGAUUGUUAGUUCUCAAUGAAUCCUCACAUUCCCCUACCUGCUGAUCAUCAUGUGCCUACCCAACCAUCAAGUGUACGUAUUGAUUCUACUUCUAUUUUUCUUUAUACAUUUUAUUGAUCUUCUCCUUUAUCUUAUUUCCACUUCUUGUUUCAUGGGAACUCUUUCUGCAGAGCAAACAAAUGGACUCAACAUUAAUCUCAAAUGCCUAUAUUCUGCAUUAUGCUUUAUCCUCAUUUUAGAUGAUAAAAUUUCUCAUGACAGCUAUUCGCUUUGAAAUAUUUCAUAUGCAUCCAUAUGCCUAUACAUUAAAUAAAAGCAUAUUCAGGAAACAACUUCAUAUCAUUUUAAAAGGAUAAAGAAGAAAUGUGCUUACAUUGCAAAUCCACAGGCAUUUCUUGUUCAGUUUGUUGCAGAAAAAACACUUACCUUGUUGCCACCAUUUAUUUGUCAUUUCUACAAAUAAACAGUUAUCUCCUUCA